CGUGCAGGUGGCUUGGUAAGCUUGGCGUGAAAGCCCCCGGCCCAACCGGGGAGGGUAGUCGAGGACUGUCAGGCUUGAGGGGCGCAGGGGUCGGUGGAAUUCCGGGUGUAGUGGUGAAAUGCGUAGAGAUCCGGAGGAACACCAGUGGCGAAGGCGGCCGACUGGGCGCACCCUGACACUGAGACGCGAAGGCGUGGGGAGCGAACG
rnacentral:rRNA from 1 species